rnacentral:misc_RNA from 1 species
GUGAAUCAUCGAAUUUUUGAACGCAAAUUGCACUCUCUGGUAUUCCGGAGAGUAUGCCUGUUUGAGGGUCAGGUAAAUAAAAAUCGGUGUUGUUGCUGCCUUGCGUGGUGACGCAUCGGAUUUGGGUCGUCUGACCUUCGUUUAGGUGACCUAAAAUUUUGCAUGAUUUUCGAACGUAUUUAAAUAAGUUACGUACGUUUGUAAUAUCUGAUAUUAGGUGUGAUCAUUCGCAUGAUUCGCUCCCAUAAUUUUUCAUCAAAAUUACCUCAAAUCAGGUAAGAGUACCCUCUGUACUUAAU